rnacentral:rRNA from 2 species
GUCGAGCGAACUGAUUAGAAGCUUGCUUCUAUGACGUUAGCGGCGGACGGGUGAGUAACACGUGGGCAACCUGCCUGUAAGACUGGGAUAACUUCGGGAAACCGAAGCUAAUACCGGAUAGGAUCUUCUCCUUCAUGGGAGAUGAUUGAAAGAUGGUUUCGGCUAUCACUUACAGAUGGGCCCGCGGUGCAUUAGCUAGUUGGUGAGGUAACGGCUCACCAAGGCAACGAUGCAUAGCCGACCUGAGAGGGUGAUCGGCCACACUGGGACUGAGACACGGCCCAGACUCCUACGGGAGGCAGCAGUAGGGAAUCUUCCGCAAUGGACGAAAGUCUGACGGAGCAACGCCGCGUGAGUGAUGAAGGCUUUCGGGUCGUAAAACUCUGUUGUUAGGGAAGAACAAGUACAAGAGUAACUGCUUGUACCUUGACGGUACCUAACCAGAAAGCCACGGCUAACUACGUGCCAGCAGCCGCGGUAAUACGUAGGUGGCAAGCGUUAUCCGGAAUUAUUGGGCGUAAAGCGCGCGCAGGCGGUUUCUUAAGUCUGAUGUGAAAGCCCACGGCUCAACCGUGGAGGGUCAUUGGAAACUGGGGAACUUGAGUGCAGAAGAGAAAAGCGGAAUUCCACGUGUAGCGGUGAAAUGCGUAGAGAUGUGGAGGAACACCAGUGGCGAAGGCGGCUUUUUUGGUCUGUAACUGACGCUGAGGCGCGAAAGCGUGGGGGAGCAAACAGGAUUAGAUACCCUGGUAGUCCACGCCGUAAACGAU